rnacentral:rRNA from 1 species
GAUGAACGCUGGCGGCGUGCCUAAUACAUGCAAGUCGAGCGAACAGACGAGGAGCUUGCUCCUCUGACGUUAGCGGCGGACGGGUGAGUAACACGUGGAUAACCUACCUAUAAGACUGGGAUAACUUCGGGAAACCGGAGCUAAUACCGGAUAACAUGUUGAACCGCAUGGUUCAACAGUGAAAGACGGUCUUGCUGUCACUUAUAGAUGGAUCCGCGCCGCAUUAGCUAGUUGGUACGGUAACGGCUUACCAAGGCAACGAUGCGUAGCCGACCUGAGAGGGUGAUCGGCCACACUGGAACUGAGACACGGUCCAGACUCCUACGGGAGGCAGCAGUAGGGAAUCGUCCGCAAUGGGCGAAGGCCUGACGGAGCAACGCCGCGUGAGUGAAGAAGGUCUUCGGAUCGUAAAACUCUGUUAUUAGGGAAGAACAAAUGUGUAAGUAACUAUGCACGUCUUGACGGUACCUAAUCAGAAAGCCACGGCUAACUACGUG